AAAUAUGUCUACUCUUUCUAUCUUUGCACAAGGGAAAUUUUGUCACCUGAUGCUACACUGAAAAACACGCACUGGAUGGUCGAAGAAAAAAACGUGGUUCAGGAAGUGGUUACACAGCUAAAAUGAACCUGCAGCUGCUUAUUUGAAAGUUUUUGUAUUGAGCAUAUGAUGGACCAUGAACAGAAUGCAGCCCCUGAUAAUUUGGUGUACUGCCUUUAUUUGGAUUUGUGGAGAAAAUGAAGUUUCUUCAUGUGAUGUGAUGGCCGAAGUACGAAGAGGAGAAACAAAACGUGUUUCCCCUGGACAAAAUCUGACAGUCGAGUGUACCGUCAAACACUGUGGGGAGUCAUUCAUUGUCAGAUGGUUUAAAUUCUCUAAGACGUUAAAGAACUGGGAGGCCAUUCCAGUUAUGGAGAACAUAAAAAUCACACAGAAAUAUAAUAAAGAGAAUCUGAUCUCAUAUUUAAGUUUAGAUCAGGUUUCCAUUAAUGAUGACGGCCUGUACCAAUGUGCUUUAGGACACAGUAACGAAAUAGUCAGCCAUUCCAUCAACAUCUCAGUUUCAGAACUAAACAAAGGAGUAGAAAACACUGAUAAUGAUGCAGACAGUAUUGAUGACGAUCGCUCCUCGCUAUCCAUCUUCCUGAUCUGUGUUACCAUUAUAUUUGUGAUCGCCGCAGCGAUAGUGUUGAUCCUCGUGUGCUGUCAUGGCUGGAAACAAACCUGGACUUGCAACAAUAAAAAUCAAGCGGUAAUGUAAAUGUAUUCACAUAGUGGAGUUUUGUUUGGAUUUUGAAACAACUCUUUACGGUUAUGAAAAUAAUAAGAACUCAGAGAUGGUAAAGUUAAUUUUAGAAAAUGUGGAUUGCAAACUUUGUAGUGCUGGGGUGCCAUUAAAUAAGAUGCAAUCAUAGCCCCCCUUCACACCUGGAAAAGACUAAAAUUUUAAGUCAGCCAGAAUGUGAAUGGUCUUUAGAGAUGCUGAACAGUGUACGUCUUGAAUAAAACUUUCAUAAAACUGUGGGCGUUGAUUAUCCUGCAGCAUAUAGUCAAGUCCAGAAUUAUUCAUACCUCUACCAGAUUUAGAUUUAAAAUGAUUUUUAAAUUUGUUUUGUUUGUUGGUUUUUGUCAUUUCUACCCUUCUCCAUAAUCCACAAAGAAUAUGGUAUUACAGAACCUAAACCCUUCAUGUAAUUGAUCUAAUUCCAGUUUUUUGCAUGUUUUUUUCAUUCUAAACUAUUAAUUCAAGCAAUUACCUGCUAGCGGUAUAAAUAAUUUGUGGAUUAACUGUGUUUGUAUCUUGAGUUUGGCAUGAAGGAGCUUGCUGGAAGUUAUGAAAGUUUAUCUAUAUUGUGAGUUGCUCACCCUUCUUGCUGUGGACUUUGAGCUAAGAUAUAUUCUAUAACAAGGUCAUCAUGAUUUUGCUGGACUUGCUCCACAUUAUUUAUUAUAACAAUCCUUUCAGCACAGUUGUGUGCAGUGCAUCCUGGUACCUUUCUGACUGCAACUCAAUGGAUACGUCCCUGAAUCUAAAAAAUCUUUCCUCACCCAUAAGGAACGUGCCAUGCUCAGGCCCCUGGCACAUAUAAAGACCUAUCCAUUAGAUCUGACUUAUUGAAAACUUGUUUUGUUUUCAAGAACUCAGUUUACUACGUUAAACACAUUUAAUAGAAUAAUUACACACAGUCAUGUUUUUAAAUAUUUAUUUUUGAUUAAUUACAGUGAUAUUUUAUUUACAACUAAUGAGAAAGUCAUUUAAGAUUACAGUAUUAUAUCAGACCAUUAUAAAAAUACAUAUUUUAGUACAGACCUGUAGACUUAAUGAAUAGUGUUUAAUAUUUGCUUAAAGGUUAUUUUCAAAAGGUUUCUGAGAAACGAGCCUCAUCACAUGUUCAAAUUUACAAAAUUUACUGAAUCUGAAUUGAUAAAUUCAGAAUUUGACUGAAUUUAUCAACCUGCAGUUGAAAUGGCAAAUGAUUUUGUUAAAGAUGAAACACAGGCAUCCUAUUUAGAGAUAAGGAAUCAAGAAGAAUAGGAAAACUUUUGAGUUGGAACGCAAAGGUUUUAAUAUAAGUUUUUAACACUUGCAACAUGACUCAUAAAAAAGCAACUUCACGCUUAAAAGUCUCAGUGUAAUAAUGAGUGGUGUGUUCAAAAGCAGAAGUGUUUCCUUCUUUACAUGAAGGCUUCAACUAAUGGUAAAGACACAUCAACCCUCUAUCUCUACAGAAUGUUUUUGUAGAUUUUAGGUGAAACAUCCAAAUGCAGGUUUUAUUGUUGGUGGCAUUGUGAUAUGAGGGACAAGAAAGAAGAAGAGAAAAACCUUUCCACUGAGAGUUUAAGAUCAUCUUAACUUUCUUCACCUUGAAGAAAUAUCUACACAUAUGAUACCGGAACUCCCCAAGACGAGCGCCUCUUCUUCUCCCAGCCUGCGAACUCCAUUCUCAGUUCUGAACGACAUCUAUUCUUCAAGUAAACCAGAAAAAACAUCAACAUCAACAUCACCUGCUCUUGCUCUCACUGGGAAUGUUGCAGAUACAGCAGCUAAUAGUCAAGCUUCUAACUGUGCAGUGUAUACUAUGAUAAACUACCAACAAUGUGUUUCACCAGCCAGAAACGACACAAGUAAGCAGGAUGAAAAAGCAAAUUGCUGUUAUCAACGUCUUAAAAGUUGAGAAUUUUUCACUCACUGAGAAUAAGUAGGAAACAUCCAGACUUGAGCGGAAGUAUAGAUGGUAGAUGUGCAGAACAUCAACUUAUGCAUUGGAUGCUGGUUAAGGACAGUUACAUUUAAAGUAGACAUGAGAGGCAUCAAAAGAUUGUUUUUUCUGUGCAUUUAUCAUUUCAUGUUAUAAUCUCAACAAUUCAGGGACUUGAAAAACUGAAAGUAUUAUUAUUUUAAACAAGUAUAGGUAUUGCAUUACUUUUACUUGCGAUUAUUAAAUGCCUGAAAUGUUAUGUAAAUUCAAAGAGCAAUAUCAAGAAAAACCCCACAAGACCAUUCUGUCAUGUAUUCCCUGUACAACAUAUUCAUCAAUGGCGAAUGUUGUUUCUGAUGUUUUUGCCAGGUCAUCCAUGUAAUAGAGCUCUUGAAGACACAGAGACUUGGGAAAUGAAGGUUAAGAAGAACUGAAAGACUAAUUUGUUUAAGACAAAAAUAACAUCUGACAUGGGUUUACAAAUAGACUGAGCCUUUGUCCUCAGAGUGAGAUGAAAGAAAAAGUGAUACAUUUUGAAUUAAGUAUGAAGGAGAAAUUUUUCAAAUUGAAACUGAAAACUAGUUUAAUAUGAAGUGUGGAAAAAUAUGUAAAAUAAUAAGAUUUUAGUCCUGUUUUUUACCACAGAUGUCAGCAAUAAAGAACUGAAAAAAUGUCUUCUACUUGAAUAUUUUUCUCAUCAAAACAUAAAUAAGCAUGAGCACACAAUCAGCAUCACCUAAUCAUCUACACAAGAUGGCACUGUUGAGAAAGAAAAACAAACAAUAACAGUUUGUCUUGUUUCACAGAGGACAGCGUGGAUGAAGUCUAAAAAAGAGAUGGGAGUCUAUUCGCACCAGGUGAUGCUUUUAUGGUGUGGAAAAUAGCAGGAAGAAGAAAAAUCGCUUCUUCUGUUACUUGUCUGGUCAGAAACAAUAACAUGUCAUAACGUACGUCAGUCAAUCCCACAUAAAGUCCUUGUUUCUUCUUAAAUAAACAUUAAUCCUAACAGGCU